CCAAGUGUUACAUCAAGAAAGUGCCUGUGCCGUUGUUCAUUGAAGAUCAGGAGCAAAUUGAUGUUAUGUUCACUCACCUGACUUCAAUUCUGGACAGCACACCCACACCCACAGUGACCAGAUCAGAUUCAUUAUGGAUGUCCUUUUUCCAGAGUCCAUCAUCUGUGCUCUCGCUGUUGUGGGACAUGUGUCCAUCUUGGAGGCUGAGGAGAAAUUCCUGCGAGGACCUGUCAUUGACGCAAGUGAGCGGGAGCACUUUGACAUGAGGAUAAAAAAACAACUUAAGAAGAGUGGCAAGACAUAGGAGUCAACUUCAGGAGUCAUCCUAUACAUG